UACGUAGGGGGCAAGCGUUGUCCGGAAUCAUUGGGCGUAAAGAGCGUGUAGGCGGCUCGGUAAGUCCGCUGUGAAAGUCCAGGGCUCAACCCUGGAAUGCCGGUGGAAACUGUCGAGCUAGAGUCCGGAAGAGGCGAGUGGAAUUCCUGGUGUAGCGGUGAAAUGCGCAGAUAUCAGGAGGAACACCGGUGGCGAAGGCGGCAUCCUGGACCGGUAUUGACGCUGAGGCGCGAAAGCCAGGGGAGCAAACGGG
rnacentral:rRNA from 1 species